rnacentral:misc_RNA from 1 species
AAGCGUGUCUAAUGAGAGGUUAUUUGACGUACGCAGUUGAUACUUUAUACUGGUUUAUAACUCACUUAUUAGGUAAUGUCCCAGAUUUAAUUUUCAAAUGGCUAGAGGAGACUCGUAUAUGUUGAUGAGGGAGGAGACCAAUCCAAACGUGUUUGUGGUGCAAUCGAAACAAGCUCGUGCGCCAAUAGCGUCGAUGGAACGAACAAGAAAACUCUUGAUUGCAUUCGUUAUUGUCAUGGGAAUUCUAAUUAUCUUCCUGGUGGUUGUGCUAGAGCACAUUAUCAAGAGCUCAAACGCAAAAACUGAGCAAACAACUGGGCCAUUCAGCAGCAAUUGCACGAUAACUUUAGUGGAAAGCAUUCCUGAAAAUGUCACAUUCUCAGCAGGAUCGGUUCAGAAUCCAAGCAUCUAUGAUGGCUGGAUGAAUCUCCUAGACAUCGCAGAGGAGCGGAUCGACAUAGCAUCGUUUUAUUGGACAUUACAAGGAAGCGAUACGAAAACCACAGAUUACAGUACCGAAGAAGGAGAGACUGUAUUCAAGAAGUUACAGGAUGUUGCUAAAGCAGGUGUUAAAAUCCGAAUUGUACAGACACCUCCUACUGAUGCCUUCCCCCAGAUAGACACAAAUAUCCUUUCCAAGGAAGGGCUUGCAGAUGUACGAUCAUUAAACAUAACACGUCUGGUUGGCAGUGGAAUCUUGCACACUAAGAUGUGGCUUGUUGAUGGUAAACACUUUUAUGUUGGCAGUGCAAAUCAGGACUGGAGAGCACUCACACAGGUGCAAGAGCUUGGCCUUAUCACCUACAACUGCAGUCUCAUGGCAAAUGAUAUGAGCAAAAUAUUUGAGGUAUACUGGGACCUAGCAAAAGACACAAAGAUCCCAAAUCCCUGGCCAAAAAAGUACCAAACAACCAUUAAUGUUGAUUCUCCGGCUCAAAUAAAAUUCAAUGGUUCCAAUGCAGCUUCAGUAUAUUUGUCUUCUUCUCCACCCAAGUUUUGUCCACCUGGUCGUACUGAUGAUUUGUCAGCCAUAAUACGAGUUAUUGACAGUGCCACAAAGUUUGUUUUUGUUUCUGUGAUGGAUUAUUUUCCAACAACUUUGUAUACACGUCAAAGAACUUAUUGGCCAGUUAUAGAUGACGCUUUAAGACGAGCAGCAUUUGAUCGUAAAGUACAUGUGCGACUGAUGGCCAGCCUAUGGAAUCACACACGAUCUGAUAUGAAAAACUACCUUCGAUCCCUGGCUGCUUUGAACUAUGCUAAUGAUGCUUAUGUCCAAGUGGUAAGUGCAGUAUCAGGUAAUAACUGAUUUUUUUCCUCGUUUCUUAAAGACAUUUCUGUGGUAUCUGGUUAUAAAUAACUCCCCUGGUACAUACCUUUUACUGACCACGUUUUCUUACUCUGUACUGUGAGUUAUGGACUUGAUUUUUUCCACUCGCAUUCAUUCAUGCCCAAAGCGCGAAGCGCACGGGUCACAAAUCCAAGUGAGAAAAACGAUGUUCUGUAACUUAAAGUGCGAACCGAUAAAACAAGAGGCUAUACUCUGUGCCACCUUACACGAAAGAGAUCCCUUUCACCCGGGUGAACCACAACAAAUACAUGGUCACUGAGAGUGUGGCAUACAUCGGUACGUCCAACUGGUCA